rnacentral:rRNA from 1 species
UUAAGCGACUAAGCGUACACGGUGGAUGCCCUGGCAGUCAGAGGCGAUGAAGGACGUGCUAAUCUGCGAUAAGCGUCGGUAAGGUGAUAUGAACCGUUAUAACCGGCGAUUUCCGAAUGGGGAAACCCAGUGUGUUUCGACACACUAUCAUUAACUGAAUCCAUAGGUUAAUGAGGCGAACCGGGGGAACUGAAACAUCUAAGUACCCCGAGGAAAAGAAAUCAACCGAGAUUCCCCCAGUAGCGGCGAGCGAACGGGGAGCAGCCCAGAGCCUGAAUCAGUGUGUGUGUUAGUGGAAGCGUCUGGAAAGGCGCGCGAUACAGGGUGACAGCCCCGUACACAAAAAUGCACAUGCUGUGAGCUCGAUGAGUAGGGCGGGACACGUGGUAUCCUGUCUGAAUAUGGGGGGACCAUCCUCCAAGGCUAAAUACUCCUGACUGACCGAUAGUGAACCAGUACCGUGAGGGAAAGGCGAAAAGAACCCCGGCGAGGGGAGUGAAAAAGAACCUGAAACCGUGUACGUACAAGCAGUGGGAGCACGCUUAGGCGUGUGACUGCGUACCUUUUGUAUAAUGGGUCAGCGACUUAUAUUCUGUAGCAAGGUUAACCGAAUAGGGGAGCCGAAGGGAAACCGAGUCUUAACUGGGCGUUAAGUUGCAGGGUAUAGACCCGAAACCCGGUGAUCUAGCCAUGGGCAGGUUGAAGGUUGGGUAACACUAACUGGAGGACCGAACCGACUAAUGUUGAAAAAUUAGCGGAUGACUUGUGGCUGGGGGUGAAAGGCCAAUCAAACCGGGAGAUAGCUGGUUCUCCCCGAAAGCUAUUUAGGUAGCGCCUCGUGAAUUCAUCUCCGGGGGUAGAGCACUGUUUCGGCAAGGGGGUCAUCCCGACUUACCAACCCGAUGCAAACUGCGAAUACCGGAGAAUGUUAUCACGGGAGACACACGGCGGGUGCUAACGUCCGUCGUGAAGAGGGAAACAACCCAGACCGCCAGCUAAGGUCCCAAAGUCAUGGUUAAGUGGGAAACGAUGUGGGAAGGCCCAGACAGCCAGGAUGUUGGCUUAGAAGCAGCCAUCAUUUAAAGAAAGCGUAAUAGCUCACUGGUCGAGUCGGCCUGCGCGGAAGAUGUAACGGGGCUAAACCAUGCACCGAAGCUGCGGCAGCGACGCUUAUGCGUUGUUGGGUAGGGGAGCGUUCUGUAAGCCUGCGAAGGUGUGCUGUGAGGCAUGCUGGAGGUAUCAGAAGUGCGAAUGCUGACAUAAGUAACGAUAAAGCGGGUGAAAAGCCCGCUCGCCGGAAGACCAAGGGUUCCUGUCCAACGUUAAUCGGGGCAGGGUGAGUCGACCCCUAAGGCGAGGCCGAAAGGCGUAGUCGAUGGGAAACAGGUUAAUAUUCCUGUACUUGGUGUUACUGCGAAGGGGGGACGGAGAAGGCUAUGUUGGCCGGGCGACGGUUGUCCCGGUUUAAGCGUGUAGGCUGGUUUUCCAGGCAAAUCCGGAAAAUCAAGGCUGAGGCGUGAUGACGAGGCACUACGGUGCUGAAGCAACAAAUGCCCUGCUUCCAGGAAAAGCCUCUAAGCAUCAGGUAACAUCAAAUCGUACCCCAAACCGACACAGGUGGUCAGGUAGAGAAUACCAAGGCGCUUGAGAGAACUCGGGUGAAGGAACUAGGCAAAAUGGUGCCGUAACUUCGGGAGAAGGCACGCUGAUAUGUAGGUGAAGUCCCUCGCGGAUGGAGCUGAAAUCAGUCGAAGAUACCAGCUGGCUGCAACUGUUUAUUAAAAACACAGCACUGUGCAAACACGAAAGUGGACGUAUACGGUGUGACGCCUGCCCGGUGCCGGAAGGUUAAUUGAUGGGGUUAGCGGUAACGCGAAGCUCUUGAUCGAAGCCCCGGUAAACGGCGGCCGUAACUAUAACGGUCCUAAGGUAGCGAAAUUCCUUGUCGGGUAAGUUCCGACCUGCACGAAUGGCGUAAUGAUGGCCAGGCUGUCUCCACCCGAGACUCAGUGAAAUUGAACUCGCUGUGAAGAUGCAGUGUACCCGCGGCAAGACGGAAAGACCCCGUGAACCUUUACUAUAGCUUGACACUGAACAUUGAGCCUUGAUGUGUAGGAUAGGUGGGAGGCUUUGAAGUGUGGACGCCAGUCUGCAUGGAGCCGACCUUGAAAUACCACCCUUUAAUGUUUGAUGUUCUAACGUUGACCCGUAAUCCGGGUUGCGGACAGUGUCUGGUGGGUAGUUUGACUGGGGCGGUCUCCUCCUAAAGAGUAACGGAGGAGCACGAAGGUUGGCUAAUCCUGGUCGGACAUCAGGAGGUUAGUGCAAUGGCAUAAGCCAGCUUGACUGCGAGCGUGACGGCGCGAGCAGGUGCGAAAGCAGGUCAUAGUGAUCCGGUGGUUCUGAAUGGAAGGGCCAUCGCUCAACGGAUAAAAGGUACUCCGGGGAUAACAGGCUGAUACCGCCCAAGAGUUCAUAUCGACGGCGGUGUUUGGCACCUCGAUGUCGGCUCAUCACAUCCUGGGGCUGAAGUAGGUCCCAAGGGUAUGGCUGUUCGCCAUUUAAAGUGGUACGCGAGCUGGGUUUAGAACGUCGUGAGACAGUUCGGUCCCUAUCUGCCGUGGGCGCUGGAGAACUGAGGGGGGCUGCUCCUAGUACGAGAGGACCGGAGUGGACGCAUCACUGGUGUUCGGGUUGUCAUGCCAAUGGCACUGCCCGGUAGCUAAAUGCGGAAGAGAUAAGUGCUGAAAGCAUCUAAGCACGAAACUUGCCCCGAGAUGAGUUCUCCCUGACUCCUUGAGAGUCCUGAAGGAACGUUGAAGACGACGACGUUGAUAGGCCGGGUGUGUAAGCGCAGCGAUGCGUUGAGCUAACCGGUACUAAUGAACCGUGAGGCUUAACCU